UGCCCGUCCCAAAGCCACCAUAAACCCAUCUAUCUGAAGACAAAAUACGAGGACUAGAUCGGCACCCAGUUUUCUAAGCUUAUCUCCAAUAAUUUAGCUUCAGCCAAUGCCUUUCAGAAGCCAUAUCAACCUCCGAAUUCUGCCAAGUACCGUUCGGCAGUCCCAGAUUGAAGCAAGAUACCACACCCAACUCCAGAUUAUCUCAUAUUUGAAGACUCUCCGUACCAAAGCAUCUGCACCCACAACAAAUGACAGAUACGAGCUCCAGGCCAGCUCGCUAAUUCCUUGUCCCACCAGGAACGGCACCACUGAUAAGAAUUCCAGUAGGCCAACGACACCAUUCUUACAGCUCUGUCAAACGACAUCUACUUGGAAAAUUUCUCAGGACACCCAAUGUGUGUCUUCAUACAAAGUGGGAAAAAAUAUAUUGACUGAAAAGUGCCGAGAGCUUGAGAACUUGCUGGACAUGGUCCUCCUUCAACCCACUCUGCCAACAUCUCACAAGACACCCAAGCCACCACGACGACCUUGCUGCUUGCCGAAGCAGCCUUCCUUCAGCACAGCCAAUGAUGAAGGUUCAAACACCUUGCCAAACGGUUGCUACGCAGACCAAGCCAAAACCUCACAAGCCCUCUUGCCGAAGACACCACAGGCUCUCAAAAAAUUUCAAUCCGCCCUUGCCGUUCGGCAAGGGUUGAGCAAAUACAAUUAAAGCCUCACAAAAUCGGUUCUGAACCAAGUUGACUUUGCCGAAUCUUCCUCUGCAGCUUGGGACUUGCCCCGUCGCACACGGCGAAUCUUCAGCCGAGCCCUGCCGAUCGGCAGCGUCGUUGAGAGGUAGCUAGCUCCUUCACACGAUGACCUCGCCAAGAUGAGCUCGCCAGCAGCUGCCCGUGCUCCCUCCAAAUCGAAUUGUUGAAGGCAUACGGCGCAACCCUAGCUCCUACUCUACUCUUAUCAUUUGGCCAAGGCCCGUCUCGGGUCCAACCCUUGCAAAUCCGUACCCACGCCAGCUUGGUCCCUUGCCGAACGGCAAGGGCCAUGAAAAUAAAAACAAACACGAGCCCACACAACACCCGACCAUCUUGCUACAAACCCAUCUAAGGCUCAACUCAUUCUUUGGCCAAAACCCAUGGGGCUUUCGAAUAACCCAAGUCCCAUUUUCAACCCCUUGCCGAACGGCAGGGGUCAUUCAGUUUUUUGAAGAGGCUUACACAAGCCUUAGCCUGCCAAAGGGUCUAGCUCACCACGGUCUUGUACAAAAAAAAAAAAAAAAAAAAAAAAAAAAAUUGGCUAGACCCUUGCCGAACGGCAAGGGCCAUGGAGGAAUUGUGGCGAAGUCUAAAAUUUUCAAGACCCGGCUCCCUCGGCUCCCUCGAAGGCCUAGCCCCCGAAGUCUAAAAUUUUCAGGACCCGGCUCCCUCGAAGGCCUAGCCCCCGAAGUCUAAAAUUUUCACGACCCGGCUCCCUCGAAGGCCUAGCCCCCGAAGUCCAACAUUUUCAAAGUACCCGGCUCCCUCGAAGGCCUAGCUCCCGAAGUCUAAAAUUUUCAAGACCCGGCUCCUUCGAAGGCCUAGCCCCCGAAGUCCAACAUUUUCAAAGGACCCGGCUCCCUCGAAGGUCCCUCGAAGGCCUAGCCCCCGAAGUCUAAAAUUUUCAAGACCCGGCUCCCUCGAAGGCCUAGCUCCCGAAGUCUAAAAUUUUCAAGACCCGGCUCCCUCGAAGGCCUAGCCCCCGAAGUCUAAAAUUUUCAAGACCUGGCUCCCUCGAAGGCCUAGCUCCUGAAGUCUAAAAUUUUCAAGACCCGGCUCCCUCGAAGGCCUAGCUCCCGAAGUCUAAAAUUUUCAAGACCCGGCUCCCUCGAAGGCCUAGCCCCCGAAGUCCAACAUUUUCAAAGUACCCGGCUCCCUCGAAGGCCUAGCCCCCGAAGUCUAAAAUUUUCACGACCCGGCUCCCUCGAAGGCCUAGCCCCCGAAGUCUAAAAUUUUCACGACCCGGCUCCCUCGAAGGCCUAGCCCCCGAAGUCCAACAUUUUCAAAGGACCCGGCUCCCUCGAAGGCCUAGCCCCCGAAGUCUAAAAUUUUCAAGACCCGGCUCCCUCGAAGGCCUAGCCCCCGAAGUCUUAAAUUUUCACGACCCGGCUCCCUCGAAGGCCUAGCCCCCGAAGUCCAACAUUUUCAAAGUACCCGGCUCCCUCGAAGGCCUAGCUCCCGAAGUCUAAAAUUUUCAAGACCCGGCUCCCUCAAAGGCCUAGCCCCCGAAGUCUAAAAUUUUCAAGACCCGGCUCCCUCGAAGGCCUAGCCCCCGAAGUCUAAAAUUUUCAAGACCCGGCUCCCUCGAAGGCCUAGCUCCCGAAGCUC
rnacentral:lncRNA from 1 species